ACAAAUCCAAUAAUUGCUGGAGAACACUUGUUCUUUCUGCAAAUAUUAAUCCGUUGGCUGCUCUUAGAGCAGCUGGCUGUGAUAUAAAUGCGUGUGUUAUGUUGACAGUGUGUGUAUAAGUUAAUAUUGA
rnacentral:misc_RNA from 1 species